AGUGAACGCUGGCGGUAGGCCUAACACAUGCAAGUCGAACGGCAGCACAGUAAGAGCUUGCUCUUACGGGUGGCGAGUGGCGGACGGGUGAGGAAUACAUCGGAAUCUACUUUUUCGUGGGGGAUAACGUAGGGAACCUUACGCUAAUACCGCAUACGACCUACGGGUGAAAGCAGGGGAUCUUCGGACCUUGCGCGAUUGAAUGAGCCGAUGUCGGAUUAGCUAGUUGGCGGGGUAAAGGCCCACCAAGGCGACGAUCCGUAGCUGGUCUGAGAGGAUGAUCAGCCACACUGGAACUGAGGCACGGUCCAGACUCCUACGGGAGGCAGCAGUGGGGAAUAUUGGACAAUGGGCGCAAGCCUGAUCCAGCCAUACCGCGUGGGUGAAGAAGGCCUUCGGGUUGUAAAGCCCUUUUGUUGGGAAAGAAAAGCAGCAGGUUAAUACCCCGCUGUUCUGACGGUACCCAAAGAAUAAGCACCGGCUAACUUCGUG
rnacentral:rRNA from 1 species